UACGUAGGGUGCAAGCGUUAAUCGGAAUUACUGGGCGUAAAGCGUGCGCAGGCGGUUCUAUAAGACAGAUGUGAAAUCCCCGGGCUCAACCUGGGAACUGCAUUUGUGACUGUAGAGCUGGAGUGCGGCAGAGGGGGAUGGAAUUCCGCGUGUAGCAGUGAAAUGCGUAGAUAUGCGGAGGAACACCGAUGGCGAAGGCAAUCCCUGGGCCUGCACUGACGCUCAUGCACGAAAGCGUGGGGAGCGAAACAAGG
rnacentral:rRNA from 1 species